UAUGUAUCUUUGACUUAGAAUAAUUGAUUUUCCUUUGGGUAUAUAGUCAGUAAUGGAAUUACUAUGUUGAAAGGUAGUUUUAUUUUUCAAUUCCUUGAGAAAUCUCCGAACUGCUUCCCACAGCAUCUGAACUCAUUUACAUUCCCAUCAACAAUAUAUAAGCAUUCACUUUUCUCCAUAACCAUACUAUUAUCUGUUAUAUUUUAACUUUUUAAUAAAAGCCAUUCUGACUGGGAAUUAUGUCAUUGUGGUUUUGAUUUGCAUUUCUCUGAUGAUUAGCAAUGUGGAAUAUUUAUUCAUGUGUGUUGACUGCUUAUAUGUCUUCUUUUGAGAAAUGCCUCUUCAUGCUCUUCGCCCAUUAAAAAAAAUUAAUUUAUUUGCUUUGUACUUCUUGAUUUGUUUAAGUUCCGUAUAAUAAAGUUCUGGAUACCAGACCUUUGUUGGAUGCAUA